rnacentral:rRNA from 1 species
GCGGAGAGUUAAGCUUGCUUCUCUGAUGUUAGCGGCGGACGGGUGAGUAACACGUGGAUAACCUACCUAUAAGACUGGGAUAACUUCGGGAAACCGGAGCUAAUACCGGAUAAUAUUUUGAACCGCAUGGUUCAAAAGUGAAAGAAGAGACGGUCUUGCUGUCACUUAUAGAUGGAUCCGCGCUGCAUUAGCUAGUUGGUAAGGUAACGGCUUACCAAGGCAACGUUAUGCAUAGCCGACCUGAGAGGGUGAUCGGCCACACUGGAACUGAGACACGGUCCAGACUCCUACGGGAGGGAGACAGCAGUAGGGAAUCUUCCGCAAUGGGCGAAAGCCUGACGGAGCAACGCCGCGUGAGUGAUGAAGGUCUUACACCGGAUCGUAAAACUCUGUUAUUAGGGAAGAACAUAUGUGUAAGUAACUGUGCACAUCUUGACGGUACCUAGGCCAUCAGAAAGCCACGGCUAACUACGUGCCAGCAGCCGCGGUAAUACGUAGGUGGCAAGCGUUAUCCGGAAUUAUUGGGCGUAAAGCGCGCGUAGGCGGUUUUUUAAGUCUGAUGUGAAAGCCCACGGCUCAACCGUGGAGGGUCAUUGGAAACUGGAAAACUUGAGUGCAGAAGAGGAAAGUGGAAUUCCAUGUGUAGCGGUGAAAUGCGCAGGUAGAGAGAUAUGGAGGAACACCAGUGGCGAAGGCGACUUUCUGGUCUGUAACUGACGCUGAUGUGCGAAAGCGUGGGGAUCAAACAGGAUUAGAUACCCUGGUAGUCCACGCCGUAAACGAUGAGUGCUAAGUGUUAGGGGGUUUCCGCCCCUUAGUGCUGCAGCUAACGCAUUAAGCACUCCGCCUGGGGAGUACGACCGCAAGGUUGAAACUCAAAGGAAUUGACGGGGACCCGCACAAGCGGUGGAGCAUGUGGUUUAAUUCGAAGCGG